GACGAACGCUGGCGGCGUGCUUAACACAUGCAAGUCGAACGGAAAGGCCCUGCUUUUGUGGGGUGCUCGAGUGGCGAACGGGUGAGUAACACGUGAGUAACCUGCCCUUGACUUUGGGAUAACUUCAGGAAACUGGGGCUAAUACCGGAUAGGAGCUCCUGCUGCAUGGUGGGGGUUGGAAAGUUUCGGCGGUUGGGGAUGGACUCGCGGCUUAUCAGCUUGUUGGUGGGGUAGUGGCUUACCAAGGCUUUGACGGGUAGCCGGCCUGAGAGGGUGACCGGCCACAUGGGGACUGAGAUACGGCCCAGACUCCUACGGGAGGCAGCAGGGGGGAAUAUGGCACAAUGGGCGGAAGCCUGAUGCAGCAACGCCGCGUGCGGGAUGACGGCCUUCGGGUUGUAAACCGCUUUCGCCUGUGACGAAGCGUGAGUGACGGUAAUGGGUAAAGAAGCACCGGCUAACGACGUG
rnacentral:rRNA from 1 species